rnacentral:rRNA from 1 species
ACGAUGGAACACCGAUUCCCGUACGAUCACCAAAGUUAAGCAACGUCGAGCCUGGUCAGUGCCUAGAUAGGUGACCGCUUGGGAAUACCAAAUGCUGUAAG